GUUGCCCAAUUGAGACCGGAAUAGUCCCAUUUAACUCAUUGUGUUUUAGAGACAAAGUUGUUAAAGCAGCUAAUCUUCCACAAGAUUCUGGAAUUGAACCUUUCAAGAAAUUAUCAUAAAGGUAAAGUUCGAUAAGUUUCUCGGAAAAUGUCGGAAUGGCACCUGUUAACUCGUUACCUGAUAGAUCUAGUACUUGCAAUAAUCUUAGUUUUCCCAAAGACUCUGGAAUUGAACCAUUCAAGUGAUUACCCGAAAGUAAAGGUAUAGUUCCGUAAGUUUAUUGGGUAAAGUCGAAAUGGGACCUGCUAACUCAUUGAAUGAUAGAUGUAAUACUUGCAAUAAUCUUAAUUUUCGCAGAGAUAAAGAAUCUGUAAUUGAACCGUUCAAGUAAUUACCAGAAAGGUAAAGUUCGGUAAGUUUCUCGGGGAACGUUGGAAUUGGACCCAUUAACUCGUUAUAAGAUAGAUCUAGAUGUUGGAUGUUGGAAAGGGUGGUUAAAUUAUGAAGAUUAUAAGAUAGAUGUGUCUGUUUGAGGUUAGAAUAUGACAAACGAAGCUCUAAUAAAGAAGGGAUCAUGAUUAGAAGGCUUGCAAAAUUCCAUGUGGGACUAGGAUCAAAUGACAAAGAAAGAUCAAGGAAUUGUAAGGAUGACAUGUUCUGAAAAAAGUGAGGGAGUUGACCUUUGAACGAAUUCCGGGCAAGAUUCAGAUGUUUGAUGUUGGAAAGUGAAGUGCUUACAUUUUGAAGAGCACCAAGAUUGACAUUAGAAAGACCACAUCCUAGCAACCAUAACUCUUUUAACAAAGGAAUCAUGUAAAGCACCAUGUCAAGGUUUUUUGCUCCCCUAAGAUUUACCCAACUCAAGUUAAGAUGCUCGAGUGACGAAAGGCCAGAAAUCCAGGCCAUAUCAUGUAUGAUCAGAAGAUUUUCGUUGUAAUCGUUUGAACUAAGAUCAAGAGUUAUUAGAUUGGAAAGAUUUCCAAUGUGAUGAGGUAUAAUACCAGAAAACUUUGCAUAAGAGAGAUUAAGGUAAGUCAGCUCUUUCAAGGAUCCAAUGAACUUGGGGAUCCGGCUUUCUUGAAAAUCAUUCAUGCUCAAAUCCAAAUAUUUUAGAUGCCUCAACUCUCCUAAAGAAGUACUCACCUCAUUACUAACUAAGCACUCUUGUUUAUGAAACCAACCACCACCUCUGAGAUGAAGACUUCCAACAUUUCCAGUGAGAAAAUUACACUUGACUCCUUCCCAACGACAACAGUCAUUACCAACCCAUGAUGACAACAUAUGGGAAACAUCUUUGACACUUUGUUUGAACUUGAGAAGAGCUUGUCGCUCAUGCUCAAAGCAGGCCACCGUGGUAUUUUGAGCACCCAAACAUGUUUUUGGAGUUGCAACCAAAAA
rnacentral:lncRNA from 1 species